UUUUUGCAGAGAGCAGGUUUCACUAUGUUGCCUAAGCUAGUCUUAAACUCCUGCCUUCAAGCGAUCUUCCCGCCACUGUCUCUCAACGUGGUGGGAUUAGGGGUGUGAGCCACCGUGCCUGGCCUCAACUUCCUUUUAUUCUCCAACAUUAUCAUGUCUCAAAAACCCAAAGACUGAAACUUCAGUGUCCAUAAUUUAUUAUUAAAUGCAUGGCCACCACAUCAUCAUCAAUUAUUUUUCUGAAUUGUACUAGCACAAAGUAAUUUCUUGGAGUUUUGGUUUGUGUUUUGGCUUUUAGUGAGGAAUUGGAUUUAAGUUGAUUAAAAUGAGUGUGUAACAGAAAAGACUACAAAUGUUUUUCCACAUCAUUCAAACGCACAUUCUACGCUCCAUCUGACAUGGGGCUGCCUGUUUUUUCUGAUUGUUUGCUAGUGGUUAGAGUUACAUCUGUAGCCCUCAUCGAUGGCCAAGUAUUACCCAAGACUUGGCUGAGGUUGCUACUUCUUCAUUCAUUCUGUUGUCUGCUCUCUUCGUUCUUGGUACAUCAGUCUCCUCUUGCCACUGUUCUCCAUCUGUCUCCAGGAGCCUGCUCUCUGACUUCCAGAGCUCUCAGCUUGUUGCUUCAAUUAACUUUUCAGUGGACCCCUUGGCAGCUUCCAUAGUUUCCUGCUGGUGCUUCCCAUUUUCCUACUGCUUUUUUAUCACCGUGCUUGGCUUCCCAGCACCCCCACCCCCAUUUAUCAGUCCUCAGCUGGUUGAACUAUUGUUUGAAGCACUCUGGAUUUCCUGCUGAUUUUAUCACUAAUUCUUCACUGAUCUUUUGUUACACUUUUAUUUCAUUUUCUUCCCAAUUUUGUCUUCAGGACGCUGGCAUUAUCUUGCAAGACCCAGUGCUAGGAGAGCAACUCUUCCAAGAAUUCUUCAUCUAGCAGCUAUUUAGUUAUUUUUUCAAUUAGAAUUGACCAAGAGUGAAGUAUAUUUUUCACUGUGUCUACUGGGAAAAAUACUACUUACAUUUGACAAGGUGUUUAUAUACAUAUACACUAUCUGGUUGCUGUGAUGUUAGUGCUUCAAUUCCAAAAUAUUCCCCUGGUGACUUGUUAAACAACCGUGUCUUUCGCAGACUUACUCUGAUAAGGUGGUUGCCUUGAAGAAAAUUGGUAUUACUUACUAUUUACAUUUUAAGAAGAAUGAUCCUGGUGUUUCUUUGUCUGGUCUAGCAAUCUUCGGCAGGGUUAUGUCUUGAUUACUACAAGGUCCUAUUCUCAAGAGUGGUGUUCACAGUCUAGAUCUAAGGUAAAGUCUUCUCAUUAUUGAUUUUUGUAUUUUUCAUGCCUAGUGUCACAUAAGAAUUGCAAGAGACUCCUCCAGGACUUAUGACUCCCUAGAGGCCAAUAUUAAGUAUCAUAUCAACUCUUGGUGUUGACUUUUUCGUAUUCACACAAAACUUCCAAAGCCUAAAAAUUUCUAAGGAUAAAUAAAAAAGACUUGUUUCAGUCUCCUGAGAAAAUAAUUUGUUUAAAAAGUUAACUUAAAAAAUAGCUUACCUUAAACUUAGAAAUUGCAAAUGUAUUCAUUACAGACUACUUUUGGCCAGAUGCACUCAUAUACGUAAAGUAAAAGAAAUGUAACAAGUGCAAAAUAGUGGAAUAACUAUAGCAGUUAAGCCUGUAUAGAGUUUAAGUAUAAUGAAAGUGACAUGAGCUUUAGAAAUAGACAUUUUUCUGUUUAAAUCUUGGCUCCCUCGCUUUCUAGCAAAGUAAUCUUAAGCAAGGUUAUAAUAAUAACCUGUAGUUUGGAGAAGAUCGAUGAUUUUUAAAAUUUUUUUGGUCUGUUUAUUUUUAAUAGUAAAACUUUUUAAAAAUCAUGAUUAAUCUCAGCAUAUUUAUUUUACAACAAGGUUAGUCCUAACUUCUCUGGUUGGAGCCAAGCAUUUGGAAUGGUUUUUCUUCAACUUCUACAGGGUGGCUCGGAGAAACUUUUAUAUGUCUCCAAGAUUCUGUGGAACAGUUUGAAAGUUCCCAGACUAGAUAAAAAACUCAUUGUAUGAAAGACUAAAUGCAGCAAAUGAUGCUAUUGUCCACACACUUUAUCACUGUGUUUCAGGUGUGAUUUCUUCCCUAAGACUAAGGACCCAUCAUUUUAGUGCAACCUUCUUCAUUUAAAUGGAGAGUUGUAAUUGCCAAUGCUCACAGCUACUCCUGCUCUGGCAAUUUGCUGCCAGAAGUGUGUUUUCCUUUUUAAAAGAAAAUCAAACUACCUGUAGCUACUUGGGGAAUGAUGAAGAAAUAGAGAAGUCUUUGUGGGGUUUCAGGAGCCAUUUGAUUCAAGUAAGUCGGUGAGUAGCCUGCCCGACCGGAGGAAGCCAGACUGACCCAUAAUGACUCCAACCAUCCAACAAGUGUGGAUUGACCGCCUACUGUGUUCAGUGUGACAUGGAGGGGAGAUGAAUUUUUAAGAUGAGAGAGGAGGCCGGGCGCGGUGGCUCACGCCUGUAAUCCCAGCACUUUGGGAGGCCGAGGCGGGCGGAUCAUGAGGUCAGGAGAUUGAGACCAUCCCGGCUAACACGGUGAAACCCCGUCUCUACUAAAAAUACAAAAAAAUUAGCCGGGCGUGGUGGCGGGCGCCUGUAGUCCCAGCUAGUCGGGAGGCUGAGGCAGGAGAAUGGCGUGAACCCGGGAGGCGGAGCUUGCAGUGAGCCGAGAUCGCACCGCUGCACUCCAGCCUGGGCGACAGAGCAAAACUCUGUCUCAGAAAAAAAAAUAAAAAAUAAAAUAAAAAAAAUAAGAGAGGAAACUCAUAACCCUUCAGGGAUGUAAAAUUGACAGAGAAUGGCAAGAUAAAAGAAAACCCAACAUUAUUGAAAAGUGUGGUGCUUAAAGUCACUGCUGAGAGAUUUGAAUGAUAGAAUCCCAGGAAGCCAGAGGCUUGUGGGCAAUAUAUGAAAUGAGAUAAUGGAUAUGAAAAUGCGUUGUAAACUGCAAGGUGCUAUAAAAAUGUGAGAUAUAAUCAUUAUGCGGCUCACUAGAAAGAAGUUACAAUUUUCUGGCUAGCCCUUUUGAAAUGAUGUAUGAGUUAGCCGUAGGAGAUAGAGGGUAUAGAUCCAACCACCAGUUGGAUAAUGGCCGGUUAAACUGAUCUGAGAUACCAAAAGGAGCAGGAAUCAGAGGUUGUUAGUAAGAAUUUACAUUUUCUUCUUAUUAGGACUUCAAGAGUUCCUACUGUACACAUUGGUGAACAACAGGAGUUCAUAUGUAGGUCAUAAUACUAAUGACUUAUUUACAAAGAAUAUUCCCACAGUCAUUGUUAUAAAUGGGAGAAAGAAUUUUCAGCCUAUCCACAAGGCAGGUUAACACUGUCAUAUAAAUCAUAGUAUCUGUAUGUGUAUCAAUUGUAGUCGCCAAGCUUUCUUGGAACUCUAUUAGUAAAAUGUUUUAAGAAUACAUGUUCCAUAUAUUAUAAAUCCUUUGCAGGUAUUGUAUCCUAAUAUAUUGUGUGCAUUAUAACACAUUUGUAAAAAUAGAAAGUCAAAAAGAUAGGACUGAAAAAUAAAUAAACACAGAUUAAAGUUCUACCUUUUUUU